rnacentral:rRNA from 1 species
UACAGAGGGUGCUAGCGUUGUUCGGAAUCAUUGGGCGUAAAGGGCGUGUAGGCGGUUUGCUAAGUCAUGUGUGAAAUCCCUCGGCUUAACCGGGGAACGACGCAUGAAACUGGCAAGCUAGAGUACCAAAGAGGGGGGUGGAAUUCCCGGUGUAGCGGUGAAAUGCGCAGAUAUCGGGAAGAACACCCGUGGCGAAGGCGGCUCUCUGGGACGGUACUGACGCUGAGACGCGAAAGCGUGGGUAGCAAACAGG